UCCGGCUUAUCACCGGCAGUCCCCUUAGAGUGCCCAACUAAAUGAUGGCAACUAAGGGCGAGGGUUGCGCUCGUUGCGGGACUUAACCCAACAUCUCACGACACGAGCUGACGACAGCCAUGCAGCACCUGUCUCCGGUCCAGCCGAACUGAAAAGCUCCAUCUCUGGUGCUCGCGACCGGGAUGUCAAAGGCUGGUAAGGUUCUGCGCGUUACACAGACUAUAC
rnacentral:misc_RNA from 1 species